rnacentral:rRNA from 1 species
UAGGGAAUCUUCGGCAAUGGGGGGAACCCUGACCGAGCAACGCCGCGUGAGUGAAGAAGGUUUUCGGAUCGUAAAGCUCUGUUGUUAAGGAAGAACGAGUGUGAGAAUGGAAAGUUCAUACUGUGACGGUACUUAACCAGAAAGGGACGGCUAACUACGUGCCAGCAGCCGCGGUAAUACGUAAGGUCCGAGCGUUGUCCGGAAUCAUUGGGCGUAAAGGGUACGUAGGCGGGUAAGCAAGUUAGAAGUGAAAUCCUGUAGCUCAACUACAGUAAGCUUUUAAAACUGCUAGGCUUGAGAGAUGGAAGGGAAAGUGGAAUUCCUAGUGUAGCGGUGAAAUGCGCAGAUAUUAGGAAGAAUACCGGUGGCGAAGGCGACUUUCUGGUCAUCAUCUGACGCUGAGGUACGAAAGCGUGGGUAGCAAACAGG